UACGUAGGUGGCAAGCGUUGUCCGGAAUCACUGGGCGUAAAGCGCGCGCAGGCGGCGAUCUACGUCUGGGGUGAAAGCCCGGAGCUCAACUCCGGGACUGCCUUGGAUACGGGAUCGCUUGAGGAUUGGAGAGGCAAGGGGAAUUCCACGUGUAGCGGUGAAAUGCGUAGAUAUGUGGAGGAACACCCGCGGCGAAGGCGGCUCUCUGGAACGCAACUGACGCUGAGACGCGAAAGCGUGGGGAGCAAACAGG
rnacentral:rRNA from 1 species